rnacentral:rRNA from 1 species
ACGUAGGGUCCAAGCGUUAUCCGGAAUCACUGGGCGUAAAGCGUGCGUAGGCGGCGCGUUAAGUGCAAUGCGAAAUCCUGUGGCUCAACCAUAUGGACUGUAUUGCAUACUGACGUGCUUGAGGACGGCAGAGGCAAGUGGAAUUGCGGGUGUAGCAGUGAAAUGCGUAGAUAUCCGCAGGAACACCAAUGGCGAAGGCAGCUUGCUGGGCCGUAUCUGACGCUGAGGCACGAAAGCGUGGGGAGCGAACAGGA